rnacentral:rRNA from 1 species
AAUGGGGGAAACCCUGACGUAGCGACACCGCGUGAGCGAAGAAGCCCUUUGGGGUGUAAAGCUCUGUCAGCUGGAACGAAAACAAUGACGGUACCAGCAGAGGAAGCAUCGGCUAACUACGUGCCAGCAGCCGCGGUAAGACGUAGGAUGCGAGCGUUGUCCGGAUUUAUUGGGCGUAAAGAGUUCGUAGGUGGUUUGUUAAGUUUGGUGUUAAAGAUCGGGGCUCAACCCUGGGACUGCACUGAAUACUGGCAGACUCGAGUGUGGUAGAGGCUAGUGGAAUUCCCAGUGUAGCGGUGAAAUGCGUAGAUAUUGGGAAGAACACCGGUGGCGUAGGCGACUAGCUGGGCCAUAACUGACGCUGAGGAACGAAAGCCAGGGGAGCGAAUGGGAUU